CGGACCUCAGAUCAGGCAAGACUACCCGCUGAGUUUAAGCAUAUCACUAAGCGGAGGAAAAGAAACUAACAAGGAUUUCCCUAGUAACGGCGAGCGAAC
rnacentral:rRNA from 2 species